rnacentral:rRNA from 1 species
AGUGAACGCUGGCGGUAGGCCUAACACAUGCAAGUCGAACGGCAGCACAGUAAGAGCUUGCUCUUACGGGUGGCGAGUGGCGGACGGGUGAGGAAUACAUCGCAAUCUACUUUUUCGUGGGGGAUAACGUAGGGAAACUUACGCUACUACCGCAUACGAUCUACGGGUGAAAGCAGGGGAUCUUCGGACCUUGCGCGAUUGAAUGAGCCGAUGUCGGAUUAGCUAGUUGGCGGGGUAAAGGCCCACCAAGGCGACGAUCCGUAGCUGGUCUGAGAGGAUGAUCAGCCACACUGGAACUGAGACACGGUCCAGACUCCUACGGGAGGCAGCAGUGGGGAAUAUUGGACAAUGGGCGCAAGCCUGAUCCAGCCAUACCGCGUGGGUGAAGAAGGCCUUCGGGUUGUAAAGCCCUUUUGUUGGGAAAGAAAAGCAGCAGGUUAAUACCCCGCUGUUCUGACGGUACCCAAAGAAUAAGCACCGGCUAACUUCGUG